rnacentral:rRNA from 1 species
AGCGGCGGACGGGUGAGUAACACGUGGGCAACCUGCCCUGCAGAUCGGGAUAACUCCGGGAAACCGGUGCUAAUACCGAAUAGUUUUUUGUCCCUCCUGGGACGGAACGGAAAGACGGUUUCGGCUGUCACUGCAGGAUGGGCCCGCGGCGCAUUAGCUAGUUGGUGAGGUAACGGCUCACCAAGGCGACGAUGCGUAGCCGACCUGAGAGGGUGAUCGGCCACACUGGGACUGAGACACGGCCCAGACUCCUACGGGAGGCAGCAGUAGGGAAUCUUCCGCAAUGGACGAAAGUCUGACGGAGCAAUGCCGCGUGAGUGACGAAGGUUUUCGGAUCGUAAAACUCUGUUGUAAGGGAAGAACAAGUACCAAGUAACUACUGGUACCUUGACGGUACCUUACCAGAAAGCCACGGCUAACUACGUGCCAGCAGCCGCGGUAAUACGUAGGUGGCAAGCGUUGUCCGGAAUUAUUGGGCGUAAAGCGCGCGCAGGCGGUCCCUUAAGUCUGAUGUGAAAGCCCACGGCUCAACCGUGGAGGGUCAUUGGAAA